AAGGAGAGUGUUGUGCGACAGUACUGCAUUGAGGGCGACAAGGUGAUGCUGUGUGGAACCUCUGUUGCCAAAAGAUCAAAUGGUGGGCCACUUGAGUUCAGUCUCGACGAGGGUGUCGAGCUUAACAAGUGGGGGUGGUUUGUUAGACCCCCAAAAUGAGACAUGAGGGAUGUCGGGCAGAAUGCGUGUCAAGGGCUUGUACAUUGCCCCUUGACAUGUCUUCUUGAAGCAAUGUAUGGCGCUGGGCGAGUGUCUAAGUGGUGAUGGGCUUAGGUAAGACAGCAAAGACAAGGCGGCUGGUGUGUCGGCAAGGCAGCCUUGAGUUUUGUGGGCAU
rnacentral:lncRNA from 1 species